UUUGGUGGUCAACGUGUUCUGAUCCCUCUUCGUACCUUGUUUGCUAAUGUGGUAGAUCGCACUUCAGUGUGCCGCAAACAAGAUUUGUUUGACUUGGUAGGUCCUGAGACACUUCUUCCUGUAGAUUCCUUUCAACUACCUCCUCCCAAAAGUGAGAAACAACUUAAAGAAGAGUGGAAGAGGGCAGGUCCUCGUCCUCGGCCUCUUCCUCCACCUCCAGAGAGGC
rnacentral:misc_RNA from 1 species